AUUGAACGCUGGCGGCAGGCCUAACACAUGCAAGUCGAACGAGUGGCGGACGGGUGAGUAAUGUCUGGGAAACUGCCCGAUGGAGGGGGAUAACUACUGGAAACGGUAGCUAAUACCGCAUACCAUCGGAUGUGCCCAGAUGGGAUUAGCUUGUAGGUGAGGUAACGGCUCACCUAGGCGACGAUCCCUAGCUGGUCUGAGAGGAUGACCAGCCACUGUGGAACUUAGACACGGUCCAGACUCGUACGGGGUGGAGCAGUGGGGAAUAUUGCAAAAUGGGCGCAAUCCUGAUGCAGCCAUGCCGCGUGUAUGAAGAAGUCCUUCGGGUUGUAAAGUACUUUCAGCGGGGAGGCGUUACCCGCAGAAGUAGCACCGGCUAACUCCGGGCCAGCAGCCGCGGUAAUAC
rnacentral:rRNA from 1 species